GACGGAGGGUGCUAGCGUUGUUCGGAAUCACUGGGCGUAAAGGGCGCGUAGGCGGCCUUUGGUGUCGGAUGUGAAAGCCCGGGGCUCAACCCCGGAGGUGCAUCCGAAACUCGAAGGCUGGAGGCCGGAAGAGGAGGGUGGAAUACCCAGUGUAGAGGUGAAAUUCGUAGAUAUUGGGUGGAACACCGGUGGCGAAAGCGGCUCUCUGGUCCGGUCCUGACGCUGAGGCGCGAAAGCGUGGGGAGCAAACAGG
rnacentral:rRNA from 1 species